AAGGCUUUAAGUUAAAUAAACUAAUAACCUUCAAAGCUAUAAAUAAAGAAUGUGUCUUUAGGCCUUA
rnacentral:tRNA from 1 species